UCCGUAGGUGAACCUGCGGAAGGAUCAUUAUCGAGUUUUGACUGGGUUGUAGCUGGCCUUCCGAGGCAUGUGCACGCCCUGCUCAUCCACUCUACACCUGUGCACUUACUGUGGGUAUCAGAUCGUGAAGCGUGCUCUUUUACCGGAGCUUGUGAAGCGUGUCUGUGCCUGCGUUUAUCACAAACACUAUAAAGUAUCAGAAUGUGUAUUACGAUGUAACGCAUCUAUAUACAACUUUCAGCAACGGAUCUCUUGGCUCUCGCAUCGAUGAAGAACGCAGCGAAAUGCGAUAAGUAAUGUGAAUUGCAGAAUUCAGUGAAUCAUCGAAUCUUUGAACGCACCUUGCGCUCCUUGGUAUUCCGAGGAGCAUGCCUGUUUGAGUGUCAUGAAAUCUUCAACCUAUAAGCUUUUGUGGUUUGUAGGCUUGGACUUGGAGGCUUGUCGGCCUUGAUCGGUCGGCUCCUCUUAAAUGCAUUAGCUUGAUUCCUUGCGGAUCGGCUCUCGGUGUGAUAAUAUCUACGCCGCGACCGUGAAGCGUUUGGCGAGCUUCUAACCGUCUCACUUGAGAGACAACUUUAUGACCUCUGACCUCAAAUCAGGUAGGACUACCCGCUGAACUUAAGCAUAUCAAUAAGCGGAGGA
rnacentral:rRNA from 2 species